rnacentral:lncRNA from 1 species
UUUUUUUUUUUCUUCUCUCAUCUAAUAAAAAAAAACCAAAGAUGAAGAGUCUCACGGAUGUGGAGAGACAACAAGAGAUUCAAGAUAUUAGAGGAAAAAAUAACACCAAAUUAAAAAAAUAAAAUAAUGCUACUUCAAAUAGAUGUUUUUAUUUUUUAUGAUCAAUAACAUGUAAAAAAAAUUAUUUUUAUAUGUCAAUUAUAUUAUUUUUAUCCUAUAUAUAUAUAUAUAUAUAUAAACACUAUAACUAAAAAUACAAAUUGAUGCAUGCAUUCAGGCCACCGGUGAUAUCCAAAUAGAUGCACAUUAAUUCACCGUAGUGGUUGGAUUGCAUUAAAAGCUACACACAACGGUCUCACCAACUUACGCAUGUGUCAGGUAAUGAACAUAAAUUGCUUUUGAGUUAAUAUCGUGUGCACUUAUGUUUCAUCAUCAACUCAUAUUUAUAUUAUCAUUUAUUGUCCAUCUCCCACGUAGACCAGACAUUAUAGAUGAUAAUUACACUCCGAAUACACAUUGCACUACCCCGAUCUGAUCUAAUUAUAUCAUAUUUAAUCUGUUUUAAUGAAAAAAUAAAUGAAGACGGUAUCUCUUGCCCUUCCUCACUUUAUACUUCAGAUUCUCCGACACAUUAGAGAUUCAUUCGAUCUAGAUGUAAGUGUGAUGUAGAAACUAAGUCAUCUUAUGCUUAAAUUGAUUAAAUCAAAAUAUUCGAGAAAUACAAUAUAUAAGUGAGUAUUGUUCAUGAUUAAAUGACACAUCUCGAUGACUUUUUACAGUAAGAUUGUGUAAUUAUCAAAUUAAAAUAAUAAUUUAAUUAAUGAAAUGAUUAAUUAUUUGGUGAUAUAGAAAAUAUCAUCAUCCAACACACGACCUCCGUAUUCAGAUUAAAAGGAGAAUACGAAAGUCAACAUACAUAUGUUUAUCCACGUGAACAAUGGUAUAAGGCAGACGGUCAUAGACUCUUCUCCCUUAUUGCCUAUAAGGAUAAAAAGUCAAGAGGAGAUAGUUAGAGACUAUAUUAUUAUAAAAUAUUCUAUAAAAUAUUCAAUCCUUUUAUGACCAUAUAUAAAAGCUCGUAUUUAACACAAUGAAAUGAGAAUCAUCUUUUGACCACUCGCAUCUAUAUUUAUAUACUUAUAUUAAUAAUUUGGAUGUUAAAAGAAUUGAGUAGAAAAAUCUAUUUGAACCUCGAUCUUCGUACAUGUAACACCUUAAUAACUUAACGUUUUCAUAUCGAAUGUACCUCGUGAAUAGCCCUAUACACAUAAAUCCGAAUCAUAUUAAACUGAUUAAGACAUGAAUUAUUGGUAGGUUGCUCACAUGUCACUCUCGUUAUCGGUGCUAAACCCACCCACCCGUCCAUCCAUCCUAUAAAAAAUAAUCCAAAAAUAUAAUAAAAUAAAAUCGAGAAAAAAGAAUGACUACAAACCGUACCUCCAUUUGGACGACGGCGAUGAAAUCGUGGAUGCCUUCCGUGCGCCGAUCUAACAAUGACGACCGUCCGAUGACCUGAUCGGAUCGGCAGGCGGGAAGGCGCCGUCUCGGGUUAAAUAGCGACGGGGAGGAAGUGGGUUUACAUGGAUUCACUUCACCGGAGAAGGACACCGGACAUCGAUUUAAGGUUGCAUGGAAACGACAGUGCAAUAAAGUUAGGUCAUAAUAAGUAUGGGGCACGUUGUGUACAUCCAUCUGCUUGCAUUAACCAUCCAUUUACUCCUCUCCGAUUGUUGAUGAUGUGAUGCAUCUCAUUUUGUUGUAGUGGCCUUAUCAUAUCGCAUGAGGUUUGGUGGAUGAAUUGUUUUGUUUUCUUUGGCUUUUUUGAUAUUUAGGGUUAACGGUAAAUUUAUAAUUUUAAUAUCAAAAAUAUUGAUUGGUAAAAAAAUUUAGUUUUUGUAAAAUAACUCUAUGUGAUCAUUAUAAUAUUAUUAAAAUAUAUUUUUAUCAUUUAUCCUUUUGAAAUUUUAUAAGGGAGCCCCGACUUUCAAUAAAUGGUUGAAAUGGUUGAUUCUUCUUCUUCAUUGGCAUCAAUUUUCUUUUUCUCUACUAUCAAGUCCAUGGAUGAUAAUUGACUGAUUGGAGCUGCUCUAAGUCUUGCCCCUUAAGGUAUGCUUCACUUCUCGAGACAUUUUCUACUGAUCCAACAGAUGGGCUUCUAACUUUAAGUUACUUUUAUGUAGGGAUAAAUCUUGGGGAGUUGAGUAUUUGGUUGUUCAACCCCGAUAAGAAAGCAAUGGCCAUGAGUUUAGAGUGCCACAUAGUGCACUUUGGAUCCUCCACUAAUUGGCCUCAAAUUUGGGAGCUGUCCACCAUGGACGACAUGACUUGAUACACUCGAUGGUCGAGGAUCUCGGGACCCCUUCGAUCGAAGCAUCAGCUAGCCAAGGUGGUUCUACGACAACUUGGGUCUACGACGAGUGAGGUGGCUUGUUAGGCUUUUGAAACACCACUGGCUGCUGAGGAAGAACAAUAGGCGCUAACUAAGCUAGAUAUGAGAGUAGAGAAACGACUGACUACAUCAUCCCGAUAAGAGUAUAGGCUUGCUAGGCAAGGGUUAGGAAGACAUCUAUUGGAAUCAGCUUGUGGAUUGUCAUCAUUAUUAGAGUGGAGAGACUCGAGUCAUUAAAUAACCGUUAAUAUUAUAUGGGAGUUUAGAUAGAAGUUGAGGUGUCGAGCAUCAAGAACAUUGACUAUUGGCCUCCUUGGGUGAAAGUGUUAUAGGUCGAAAGUUGUACACCAUUGAUCGAAUGCUCAUUGAAUAGAUCGAUAGUGUGGUGCUCUUAUGACAUAGAGUCCUCUGCUAAAAUGAUAAUUGAAAGAUCAAUGAUACAUUUGUCAGUUUGAUUCGGUUUUGAAUCACAUGUGCAGCUUGACCCAGGUGAAAUAUUUCAUUCUGAAUUUAUCAUUGUUAUUGGGCUAAAGUGACGAUCAUGUCAUCCGGACAAUCAUAUUGCGAGCUACAACUACAUGAUGAGUUCUCCCCUUUAAAGAGUUAAUCGUGAAUUUAAUUAUUAUAAUAUCAAAUAUGCUAACUAAUAAAAAUAUCCAAUUUAGUAGUAAAUUAUUUGAUAAAUGAUAGGUCUUAACUCUGCAUCAUAUUAACGUAAGAAAAAAAAAAUUAAUUGUUUAAAAACUUUAUGUGAUCAUCAUAACAUUACUAAAACUCGUCUCAAUCAUUUACUUAAAAAAAUUUCAAUCAUUUUUAAUCACUCGAAUCUAUAUUAUUUAAAAGGAUUUGAAACUUGAGAUUUUAUUAACUAUACUUAUGGUUAAAUGAGACUAGAUUAUGAGAUAUAUUGAUCAUUCUAUGGUUAAAUGAGACUAGAUUAUGAGAUAUAUUGAUCAUUCGUUACUAUACUUAUUAUCAUUCUAUGGUUAAAUGAGACUAGAUUAUGAGAUAUAUUGAUCCACUUAAACCUGAUUUAAAGUACCUAAUUCAAUGAAAGGUUUGAAUAGUAAAAUAGAUAUCCAAAUUAUAGCUUAUAUGCAUAAAAAAAACAUUAAUGAAAUUAUCAUAUUUAGCUGCUCAUUUACUUUAAUUUGGGCAUAAAUAGAGUUGUGAUGAUACAAUCUCGAGUAGAAACAUAUGAUAUCUUAGUAAAUUAACAACAAAUGAACUGUCACCCUCGUUUAUGAUAAAAAUCGAGGACAUGCUUAACAUACUAAAAGGAGAUGAAAAAUAAUAUUUUUUUAAAAUAUAUUUAAUUAAAUUUAAAUUUGAUAAAUAUAUCAAUCAAUUAAAACGUAGGAUAAUCUUGCCACUCACCUAAAGUGAAUAAUUAUUAUCGAGCCCACCCAAAUCAUAUAAUUCCUCUCGAACCCUCGUGCUUGGAUUCGAUGAACGAUAACUUAUAAAGAAUAUUUAAAUAUUUAUUAAAUUAUUUUUUAAGUGUCAUUCUAUCUCCUUAGAUGACUGUGCUAACAUUUUAUGAUGUUAUAAUUAAUAAUUAUCAACAUAAUAAUUGUGGAAAGAAAUCAAAAUUUUCCAUUGAACCCACUUGGCAGCCCAAUGGGCCCAAAACCCUAAACCCCUUCCCUCAAAAAAGAAUCUCUUUCCCCCCACAUAAAACACCGAACCGAAACCUUAUCUUCCCCACUGUUCGCCCAAUGAGCUCAUCGCUUCUGAUGGCGACGAUGAGCUCCCCCUCUUCCUCUCUCAUCCGCCUCAGAGCCCUACCAUCCGCGCCUUCACCAACCUCUAACCUUCUGCUCCCCGCCUCGAUGCUCCCUCGCCCCGCCUUCUCCUCCCGCCGCCGGGUCGUCUCCCGGUCACGUGGCAUCGGAGGCGCCCCUGUGGCGAUCCGCGCAAUGGCCGUCGACUCCGAUUACUCGUCGAGGAGGGGCGGCAGCAGCGAGCCGAGGGAGACGAUCAUGCUCCCCGGCUGCGAUUACAACCACUGGCUCAUCGUGAUGGAGUUCCCGAAGGAUCCGGCGCCCACGCGGGAGCAGAUGAUCGAGACCUAUCUCAACACUCUCGCCACCGUCCUGGGAAGGUAGAUUCCUUUGUUUAUCUUGUUAUCUUUGUGCAUUACAUGAUUGUUUUUGUCUAUCUUAAUGCUAAUUAUUCGGAGACGGAUUGACUUGUUUACUGAUUAUUUGGUGUCGUCGUCCUUUUCUUUAGGGUUUACAUUGCUCAAUUAAGGGCAACCGAGUGAAAUUAGCAGAUAUAGACGUUGAAAUAGUUGAUUUCUCUGAAUUAGACCGUGUUAGAUUGUAGAGAAAGCUAAAGAUUUUGCUACUCGAAGGAUAUGUUUGGUCAUGAAAUGUUAAGAAAAUAUUCAGAUAGUUGGGCUAAUUGCAUGAACUUGUGCAAACAUUGAGAUAGUUACACAAUUCCAAAUCUGAUAAUUUAGUCGUGUAAUAAGUUGCUCAGAGACUCAAUCCCUUCAAAGGUGCAUCCUUUUCUAAACUGGUAUGUGGUGCAACAAAAGUUGGUUAUCCUGUUACUUUGAGCGACAUAUAACUAUGAUUAAUGACCUGUUUGAUCCUGCCACAUCGGAUGUUUUGGAGUUUACACAUCAAAUAAUUGAGGUAUGAUUCUUUUAAAGCAAUUGAAAGAUGAAUAACUGAUAUGCGUUCUUAUCAUUUUGUGAGAUUCUUUUUUGGAUGUCGUUUGUAAUUAGUAUCAUAUCAUCCCAUUUCUUUAUCACUAUCCAUAACAUUCUACUCCAUGCUGCACUUCUGUGAAAAAUUAUGUGCAUGAAAUUGUUCUAGAUUCAUUGCAUGAAAACUUGUGAUGCCUAUGGACUGCUUUCUAAUUUGGACCUGAUAAAUGCUGUAUGAUACCUUCAGAAAUUCCCACUCGGUCAACAUGUCAAUCGAAUUGACUGUGUUAGUAGAAGAUGGAUGAUGAAAUUUUACUAGGGAAGUAAAGUAUCCCAUUUGAACUUUUAAGUCUGUUCCAAAUGCCAUGUGGAACAGGCAAAAAAAUAAAACAACGACAACAUAUAUCAACAUUCUGUUCCUCUUUCGACAAUGGAUGCAACAUCUGCGUUGCUAUGCCUACUCAUCAUUAAUACUAUGCUGCUUUCACAUACAUUGAAUAGUUAAUGAUUAGCAUAUCUCAUUCAGUCCAUCAUUUUUUGAUGCAUUUGGUUUUAUAAUGAGACAUUAUAAAAAAAAUUCAAAGCCUCUACAUUGGAACAUCAAACCCUCACAGUUGAUCUAUUGAUGAAAGCUGAUCUUAGUUUCUGCCUGUUUGGCACAAAUGAUAGUGACAAAAGUUAUGUUUGCACUAGGAUGUACUUUGCAAACUGACUCAAAGAGUAUUUGUCAUUUAAUUAGAAAAUAUAUAUUAUUCAAUCAGAACAAGUUGUUUACAUUGAAACGAGAACAUAGGCUUUUAUAGUUUGAUGUGAUGAACGAUCCCUGCUUAUCAAAACAUGGAUGAUUAAGAUAGAUUAUUUGAGAGGCUUUUAGAUGCACCAUAAGUGUGUGAUAUUCAUGGUGCUCUUAGGAACAAAAAUUACAAACAAAAUGGGACUUGAGGUUGUACUGAAUAGUUUUUUAUGUGAAUACCUUGAAUUUUUAUUUCUGAAUCACAAAUGUUCUCUUGAUGGUGUUCUUUUUAAUGUUAGAAUCCAUGUUGUUGUAAGUAGCAUUAAUAUAAAGCAAAUUGUUGACAUAAAUGGUAUUGCCUGAAAUUAUAUAUGUACAAGCUUGGUAAAUUUAUUAUUGUUUAUUUCAAUUCUUCACUCUCUCAUGUAUCUCUUGCAGCAUGGAAGAAGCCAAGAAGAACAUGUAUGCUUUCAGCACAACCACAUAUACUGGAUUCCAGUGCACUGUAUCUGAAGAAACAUCAGAAAAAUUUAAAGGUACUCUUACAUUUGCGAUAAUAUCAAAUCCUUGGUUGUUUAUUCUUAAAUUGUUUGCACAAUUUUUUGUUGCAUUCAGGUUUACCAGGAGUCCUCUGGGUACUGCCCGAUUCAUACAUUGAUGUGAAGAACAAAGAUUAUGGAGGUUAGUUGAAAGCACUUAAAUGUUCAUAUUAUUUUGAUGUUCAAAUUGUUGUCUUUCUUCCUGUCUUCAGGUGAUAGAUACAUAACUGGCGAGAUAAUACCAUGUGCUUAGAUUCAUGAUUACAUUAUUGCCUUCCUUCCCUUUUCAGGUGAUAAAUACAUAAAUGGGGAGAUAAUCCCAUGUACAUAUCCUACUUAUCAACCGAAGCAACGUGGAUCAAAGAACGAAAGCAGAAAAUAUGUGAGGCGGAGGGAUGGCCCUCCACCAGAACGCAGAAGACCGGCUGGAGAAACCCCUCAGGCUGGGUCUGCUUCCGCAUGAGGCAUGAUCUCUGCAUGACCUUCUAUUAUGUCUCAUUCGUAGAAAUCUCAUGUUCAUACCUCUAAUGUCAUCUUUUGUAGGCAUCAAUUGGUGUCGGAUAAAACAGUGACGAUUGGUCAACUAUAUACUUUUAUGCAUGGAGCACGCCAUUUCUUGCUAGGGUAAUCUAAAGGUGUGCAUUGAGCUGUGUGGUUGAUUUAUUUACGUCUCUACUUCGUCAGGUUUAUGUCCAUAUAGCUCUAGUGAUCUGAUCAAGAGUUGUAAGCUACUUUGUAUGAACCGAGACGUGAAGCUGAUGAUCAAACUAGGUCCUAUUUUGGCAUAUCUCUGGUCAUUUGGUAGCAAGCUGAUGUGUUAUUGUAAUAUUCAUAUCAGACUUAUAAAGCUAGGUGAGCCUAUCGUAACUUAAUUUUGUGUGUGUGUGUGUUUUUUUUUUGUUACCAAGGAUAAACAAAGAAAGGAGGAUUGGUGGAUUGGUGGAGGCAGGAUUUGAUCUAAAUGCUGCAGUUGUCUUACAAAGUUUUUACUAGCUAUUAUUUACUAAAUUUGAUCAAAUGAAAUUCUUAUGUGUUGAUAAUAUGUAAGUGAGAAAAUUAUCAAAUCUAUCAUUGUUCUGUGUAUCGACCACUCCAGUCUAUCAUACAAUGGUUUUCAAUGUGUUUUAUUAUAUUUGUGGCAACUAUAUAUAAAUGUUAUCAAAUUGGCCAAGUUUAUCAUACAAAUGAUUCAAAUUCAUAUAUAUAUAUAUAUAUAUAUCAUUUACUUUUUGAUAUUUGGGGUUAAUUUUGAGUUUAUCACGAUCUCAAUCAUCGCACAUGAUUAAUUUUCGAGCAAUUAUAAAUGUAACGCGUAUGGAUGAUAGCCUGUCCCUCUAAUCGUCCCACUCGUUGCUUUCCAGCGUGGGAUUCCGCCCUUUUCAGAUAGGGGCGAGCGUGGUGAGAAGUGGAGGAUGGGCCAUCGCAAUGGGGUUUCCAUGUCGAGAUGUGGCUGUUGGCCGCGUCAGAAACGGUUUUCGCCUUCGAUGGAGCUGCGGCAAAAGCCAUCUCGUCGCAGCGAUCUCGAUUGGACAUGGAAUCGUUCGAUUGGUGGAUCAAGAACAGACGAGGUUAGAUCGCUCGUGCACACGAAUUCUUAGGUAAAUCCAUCAAGAUUCUUUUCUCGUGCUUUCCAAAUCCAUGAAGUUUUACUCUUUUGUUUGACAGCGAACUUUGAACUUUUACGUCUUAAUCAUGUUUGUCGGUGUUUCUCUUAUUAUUUCGCUGCUGAUUUAAGUUCAGCUCUUAGACACAUCGUCGAUUGUAUAUUCCUUAAUUGGUACAGAAGAUACAGUUUACGAAGGGAAGGAAUUGUUACUUCACAAAUGGAUUAUGAUUGACAUUUGGAACUACUAACCUCUUGAAUGACUAUCGAACCGAACUAAGAUAAAUAACUACGAGGGACAGUGAAUCGACUCUACAAAUCAUCCUGCAAUAAGUUUUUCUUUUUGACCGUGUUUUUGUUUUGGUCAAGUGUCGUACUCUUGUUCUAGGAAAUGCUUGAACCACUGGACUGAAUCUUUUGGCAUCCUCGUUAGGUUCUUCUUGUAAUCAACAUAAUAGAGGCCGAAUCGAACUGUGUAGCCUGAGUUCCAUUCCCAAUUAUCUAGUAAUGACCACACGAAGUAGCCAUGCACAUUGCAACCGUCUUCCCUGCAUUGGUUCAUAAAAAAAGGAAGCAGUGGAACUGAAUAUGGUCAUGCCAAUUGAUUUAUUUGAGAUCAGUACAAGAUUAAUGACCACAACAUCAAGUGAACUAGCAUGAAAGAAAAUUACCGUAUCGCAGCUUGCAGGUUUGACAGGUAGUCAGCAUGAUAGCGUAUCCUCUUUUCAUCCUUCAGUGCUAUGUCUAGGUUAGUGAAAUUUGGAUCAUCCAUACCUACAAUACCGAAUGACUUUUUGUAAUAUCUGUCAAAAUAGAGAGCUAAUUCUGGAUUCGAUCAGAUUGGUUUUACCAUUUUCUGUAAUGAUAACUAGCGGGUUCUCGUAGUUCUCCUUGAUAUAGUUCAUUAACUUGCGAAUACCCCAUGGCACAAUGUGAAGCCAUCCCGAAGCAGCCUGAAAGAAGCAUGAAGUGAUAGUACCUAAACCUGAGCAUCGGUUGAAUAGUCAUUAGAAGCAUGAAUGUCGUGACUUACUCUUUCGCCAAUCCUCUCUCCAUGCCGAGUAGCUGUUGAGAACAUGGUAGAAAUUAGUAUGGUCUAUCAGGAAUAAAGUUUUGUUUAUGAUUUUGUCAUACAUGUUGCGAUAACGGCUGCAUCAGAUGAAGCAUCAUUCAGUAUCAGCUUCCUGAUUCUUGUCCGAUCAUUCCGAGCAUAUAAUGAGGUGUAGUGGUUAAUUCCUACAAAAUCUAGUGAACCAGCCAACGACUCAGAGUCGUCACUGGUAAAUCUGGGUAGUCUGUCACCUACUAGUUUCUUCAUGGUUUGAGGAUAAUCUCCAUACAUAAGGGGAUCCAAGAACCUGCUUCAGAUCCAUAUUCAACAAUCAAUCAUCAGUCCAGGUACUAGGUUAUUUUAUAUAUAGCAUGAAAUCGGUAGCAGAUUACCAUCCCAGUUCGAAUUUCAUUGCUCUAUAGGCAGCAUCUGUAUCUUCUUCAGUGCCAGAUAUAGGUUCAUACCAUUUGGAAUCAAGAGCUAUUCCAAUAGCGCCCUUUUGCUUUUCCUACAGAUUAAACUUAGCUUCUUAUCAUGCCAUUUCUGAUACAUUUUAUGGCAGUGGAGAGGUUGCAGCAAUUUAAACCAAUGGUUUACCUUAAAGUGGAGCUUGUAAGUAUGAAAUGCAGCAGCAUGAGAUAAGAGGAUGUUGUGAGCCACGAUAUAUGGUUCAGUUGAUGAUUUGCCUCUCCGACAAAGAAUGUGAGAUAGAAUAGAACACCUUCCUGGAGCUUGCAGACCUGUGUCAUAUCCUUGAAUUGAGAAUCCAUGAGGCUCGUUGAAGGUGAUCCAAUGCUUCACUCGAUCCCCGAAUGCUUUGAAACAAGUAUAAGCAUAAUGCUCGAAAUCUUGUCUGCAUUGUAGAGUGACUUUUAGCUUUCUUUUCUGGAUUUUGCUGACUGAAUAAACAUUCAAUUUAAUCCUUACAUGAUCUCUUGGCUCAACCAUCCAUUGUAUCGGUCCUCUAGAGCCUGUGGAAGAUCCCAGUGAAAGAGUGUAACAUAAGGUUGUAUUCCUGAAACAGAAAAAUAAGGGGGAAAAAGAAGAAAAAGGGAAUGCUCAGCCCUUGAAACUUUCAUUAGGACCCACAAGGAAAGGCUUUUAAAAGGUCACCGUUCUCUUGCAGAGCGUCUAUGAGUCUGUUAUAGUAGCUUAUUCCUUCUUGAUUAGGUUCCCCGGUUCCAUCUGUGAACAGGAAGCUUGUUAUUUUAUUCAGGAAAGAGGUAUAAAUAUUUCUAAUGCCAAUUAGCCAGCUCUGUAUUACUUGGGAAUAUCCGUGGCCAUGAGAUAGAGAACCUGUAGGCAUCCAUUCCUAUGUCCUUCAUCAAAUCCACAUCUGUCUGCAUAAAGAGAGCAGUAUCUUUUGGUACUAUAAAAUAAUAUGUUAAAUAUAUUUCAUGAAGUCCGUCAUCAUUCUUCUGCAUGAAGAAAUUAAACAUGUCUUUUUUGUUGAGAAGACCAUUAGAGCAGAUGGCUCUCCAGUGUAAAAGUUACAACUUCAAGAAGCCUGUAUUUGUGAAUGAGCCGAGUUCAUGGAAGAAGCUCAGAUAAGCUGCAAGUGCAAGAUUAUGUGAUGGGAAAGCACUAUAUGAUUAAGCAUGGUGGUUCACAGUUAAUUCAAUGUCUAGGCAAACUGCAGUUAUAUGGAAAAUUCAUAUCAGUUGAGUGAUUCUGAAUUUGUCUCACAAGAUCCUGCAAAAUGUAUUAGUUUACCGAAGCAGAUCUUUCGCUUGCUGUGUUAAAGGCUGUAAGUUGUAUGAUCUCAAGGGGGAAGAAAAAGGGAACCUCAUUGUUGAGAAAAUAAGGUUAAGCAGAACAGCUGUUGGAUAUCAAGAAGUUUCUGAUUCAAAAUCAUAAAAUUUUCUAACAUAUAUAGGUGAAGUUUCCAAGACAAUUGUAAGCACAACCAAAAAAUAAAAAGAAGGAAAAUUCAGUUUAAAAUGGAAUGCUACUGUUAUCUUCAACCUACAGAGUUUGCUCAUAAGAUAUCAAGUGUACAAGUGAAGACCCACCCUUCAGGUUGUAAGAAAUAUUCUGAGUCUUUCGAGACUAGGAUGUUCUUUUAAGUGAAAAUAUCUGUAGAUUGAGUUAGUAAAUGAAAAUUAUAGAUCGUCUUUCCUCACAAAUAUGAUGGACAAAAUUUGAUCAUGCAAGUUCCUUGUUUAAGCAAGUAUUCAGUUCUUUGCUCUUGUACCUUUUCUUUCUCAUGUUUUUCAUCAGUGGUCUUGUUGUUUAAACUGAACUUUCUACAUUUUUUAUGAAGUAGAAGAGAGAAAAUAUGUGCUGAACUUUGUCUUGAAAAGAGGAUAAGAUUCGAACCUCAACUAACAAUAGGUGACAGUAGUAUAGGUUGUCAUUUAGCUAGAGUUCUCCCACAUCAUUAUCAUUGACUAAAUAAUAUGUUCUCUCAACAUGUCAGAGUACCUUCACCUCUUUAGGUGAAGUAGGCCAUGGAGAAAAAGUAUCUUGUAAGUUAGCACAUUGCUGCUCCGGUGAUAGAAAAAAUAUUUUAUAGAACAAUUAUGAUUUCUCCCUUUUCAUUGUAAGGCAGCUUUUGCAAGUAUCUUGCAUCUUGCACCUACUGUCAUAAGCACUUGCUGGUGCUUUGAGUAAUCUAUCAGAAUAAACAAAGCUUUUCUUAAAUUUUCCGAUGCUUCCUUGGGGCCUUUAUUUUAUUUGUAGUCUCUUAUCCAUAAUUUGAAGAUCUUUCAGUUCUAGGAGUUGCUUUCGGACUGUCAACUUUAUUUCAUGCAAAAACUCGAAGUUUCAGAUCCAAUGUAAAAUUAAGCUGGAGUCAGAUUUCAUCAGGAUAAUCUCAUUGGAUUCAAGUUUCAUCAGGGAAAUCUAAACACACUAAACAUCCGCAGAUGACUACUCAAUAUGAACAGAAUAUUAUUCCAGAGUUCACCUUGUACCGAUGGUAUUGAUCCACCGCUACAUCUGCAUUGCUGAAGUCUAAAAUCUUCCCUGCCAAUAACAGUCUUUAAGGUUAACACAGAGAAUCCAAACUAUAUGAUUGCUUUUUUUGCCCCUCUGUGCAUAUUAUACAUAUUGAUACACAAACUGUACCUGAUCGUUUUGUGAAAGUAUCCCAUAUGCUUUGCCCCCUAUUUCCUUCUUUUACAGCUCCUUCGAACUGAGGUGUCGAACUCUUCAGAGCAAGACGUAAGGAUGAACGUGAAAGAAAAGACGAAACAUUUGUGCAUGGCCUCGCACCUGGAAAGAUGAAGAAGCUGUUCCGAAGACGAAACCACUGGGGAAGUCAGCCCUACUAAUAGCAUCACUGGUUGCAAUGAAGCAGAAGAUGAAACAGAGUGUUGCCGACGCUGCCAUCGGUAACUCCCAAUGCCAGAGAGGCUUGUGUUUGUUAAAAGCAGAGGAGUGCUGGGUGCAAUUUCGGUGGAGUGCUUCAGAAUUCAUGCGUUGUUGCCGAAGCUUCAAGGAGAUCGAAUGGACCAAUGUGAUUUGCUGGGAUCGGAUAUGAAGAGAAGGACAUUUCGUUUAAUUAACAUACAUUAUAAAUAUAAUUAAAUUUUAAUUAUAGUUAUCAGUCAAUAAAAAGAAGUCUAAUUAUAUUCCUUACAAGUGUCUCUCCCAUCAAAUAAAUUUUACUAUUAUUAGAUUUUUUUACUUAUCGAUAAUCAAAUUCAGUCAUAUUUAUAAUAUAUUUUAUCUAAUUUGGUAAGAUCACAUAAACUAAUAUUUUUACAGUUGCUCAUUAAUUUACAAGAUAUAAAUGAAAUAAAAUUAAAAUUAAUAAAAAAUUAUUUUAAAAUUAUUUUAUUUAAUUAAAUUUUAAUUUUUUUAAUUUUUUUUUACAUGUGCACAUAAAUUUUAUAAAACUAUCAAUAAGUUUAAAUAAAUAUUAUAUCAUAUUAAGUCUAACUAUUAAUUUAAGUCAUAGCGAUCGUUAUCAAUGUCAUGUUUUCUUUUAUAUAUCAUAAUAUUAUUAGUCCUUUUUAAUGUAGUUUAAAAUAAUUUUUAAAUUUUAUCUUAUGUUAUCAUAUUCAACUAUAGUAUAUAGAAUAGGAAUAAAAUAAUAUAAACAAAUAACUUUAAAUAUAUAAAAAUAAAAAUAUUAAUUAUAAUAUUAAUUGAAUAUAUAAUAUUAUAUCUUUUAUGGGUUGUUCAUAAAUUCAAUCAUAAGAACAUAUAUUUUUAAAAAAAUUAGGUUUUAAGUGAAUAGAUCAACAAUCAAUAUAAUGGAAUUUAAGUUCUUAAUUGACAUUAAUUAUUUUUAGAUUUUCUCUAAUCAUCAAAUAUUUUAUACCAUAAUGUACAGAACUAAUAGAGUAUUUAUCAUUCUUAGAGAAGAAAAAUAUUACGGUAUGUCACAAAGUAUCUUCAGCGUUGAUAAUUAAGUCUGAGAUCAUAUCAAAUAUUGAUAUAAAAUUUUAUGGUUAUAAAGCUAGAUUAGUAACUUCAAAGCAUGUCAUAAAAUGUAUUUCUAUAGUUGAUAAUAAAAUAAUAUAUUAUUAUUUUUCUUUUAAUUAUAGAAUUAGUGUCUAAAAAAGUAUUGUUUUAAGUUGAUUAAAUUUCAUAUAUGUGAACAUAUAACCUUUUAUCUUUUUUUAUUUCAAAAAUCUUAUUAUUUUUUUAUAGUCUUUUAGUGUUUAAUUUCUGGAUAACUCUAAUAUAUACUUAGUAUUCCGACUAUAAAAUUGAUAUCUAAUCUGACUUGAGUAUAUAAUAGACUUCUAAUUGCGCAUAUAUAAUAAAUAUUUUUUUAUUUAAAUUUUUAAAAUUAUUUUAAAAAUUUUGUUUUGUCUAAAAUUUUUUACUUUUGUUAUUUGCUGAAGAAGCUAUAUAUUUAAUCUCUAUAAGACUCAGUCAAUAUAUCAUUUCUAAGAUAGUCUUAACAAUCUUUAAGAUUAUUUCUGAAUAUCUCAAUGUCAAUAACAUAAAUUAUUUUAUUUAUAUUAACUAUCUUAGAAUUUUUGGAGAAAAUUUUCUUGAUUUACUAUAAUAAACUAAGACCAUAGUAAGUAAAUUAUUAUCUAUAAAUAAGAUCAAUAUAAUAAACUAGUUUUCAAUGAUAUUCAUAUAUAAAUAUUGAUCAACAAUAUUUUUCCUUAAAUAUAAAGAAAACAAUAAUGUUAAGAAACUUUAUAUAUUAUUAUUUAGAAGUUUAUUCAAAAUCAUAAAUAAAUUUCUUAAAUCUUCAUACCAAAUUUUAUAUUUUUUUUAUUUUUUUUACGAAUCAUUUAGGUUAAUCCAUAUAAAUCUAAAUCCCUAUUCAAAAAAUUUAUUUUCACAUUCAUGUUAAAAAUAUCUCAUUAUGACCAUUAUAUUAUUUAAUACUUAUCAUUUGAAUCAUAUUUAUAUAACAGGUUGGGUAUUGGAUAAUGCGAUGAGUUCUGGAAUAUCUUUUUGAUUCAUUUAUUGGAACUCUUUCAUAAAUUAAAAGCAUCAAAGUCUUCUAAGACACGUGAUAAACUUGGAGAUGCUUGUGCGUGUUUCUUUCUUCUCCUUUCGGAUUUCCAAUCCUUCACGUAGCAAUCUAAGUUUGCGUUGCUUCAUCAAACAGCCAAACCAAUUGUUAUUGUCUGCACCCUUUCGAUUUAGGACUAAACUAACUGUAACAUGUGACAAAGAUAUAUAUAUAUAUAUAUAUAUAUAUAUAUAUAUAUAUAUAUAUAUAUAUAUAUAUAUAUAUAUAUAUAACACAUAUUUCUACUAUUAAUAUUCAUCGAAAAACUCUAGAUUAACCAUAGCUAAUUAUACCUAAUAUUAACUAGUUAAGUUUAAAGGAUAUUAAUAUUAUUCAGGGUUUUAACUAACUGUUAAAUGAAAGAUAUAAUCAAAAUAGUUUAUUGGAAAAUUUUAGAUUUAUAAGGUUAUAUAUGCUAAAUUCGUAUAUAUAUUGGCACAAUAAUGAGAAUUACUUAAUGUUGAGGGUGUGUGUGUGCAUAUAUAUAUAUAUAUAUAUAUAUAUAUAUAUAUAUAUAUAUAUAAUCAAUAAAAAAAAGGGGGUAAAGAGGGACAUCCACUCACCCCUUCUGCGCUUUAUCCGAAACUCCUAAGCGCAGAAGAGAGCGCUCGAAGAUGGCGACGAUGGUGGCGCUACAGAGCUCGAUGGCUUCCCUUUCCAUCUCCUCCAAUUCCUUCUUGGGCCAGCGCCUCUCUCCCCCACUCCUAACGACGCCCGUUAGCUCUCUGCCCCUCUGCCCUUACUUUCUGAAAUGUUUGGUUUUUGAACUCAUUUGAUGUGUUAUUGUGCCUUAAUCCGACUUCCUGAGAGGAAAAUGCGGAGAAGAUGACUUUUAGAUGGCAUUUUACUUCAUAAAUUUGAUUGUCGACCGUAGAAAGAACUUUCUUUUGUUUAUUCUUUGAUUUCGUUUCUGAAUUCUCUCAACAGGGUAAAUUGGAACCAAUGGACUUCGAUUUUAGGGGUAGGAAAAGACAAAGAGUUAGAAUUCCUCUGACGUUUCCGUUUUCUAAUUCUAGGAAUUGAGGUUUCUCAGAGAACUAAAGCAACCGGUUCCUUUUCCAGAACAAGGAUUUUAAGCGAUUAGUGGUUGAUGCUAUUUAGUAGCCAUUUGAAUGCUCUUUUGUGUUUGCAUUUUGAUGGUCUUACUAAUGAACUCUAUAGCGUAUAUAGAAAACGAUCUUUUUUGCUAGUUUGUGUUGAAAUUAUACUAUUUGGAUUUUGAGAGGAACAAAAAACUGUGUUUUCUCAAAAAUGUUGCAUAAGGGGAUCAAGAAGAACAAGCGUGUGGAAUUAGAAACUCUGAUUUAGUUGCACAAUGUAUAUUUUGGCAUCAAGAAUUUGACAAGUGAUUGCAAAUUGCAAUUUUCUUUAUAUUUUAUAUAUCCUUGCUUCUCAUAUGAUGUCUAAUAGCCUCUACGAGUAAGAGAGGCAUGGAUGCCUAUACGUAGCACCUUUCUGUGAAACUUGUGUCAUUUGAAUCAUCCAGCUUAAAACUAAUUGCUUACCUGCACUAAGCCUUAAGUCAUAUGCAAGUAAACCAUGUUGAGACGAUUGGCUCAUCCUUAUAGCCACUUGCAGUUUGUUCAACUUGGCUUAAACCGAAUUCUUUGAUCUAGGCCGGAAACUAACACAUAUGCAGAGGGGAUAUGUAAGGCUUGGGACUUAUGCAAUUUUUCCAUGUUAUGAUUAAACAUUAUCCUAUUUGGAAUAUCAAGAAAGGUAAAACAUCACCAAAUCAUAUAGCAUGUGCUAUGAAGAAUUUGAUGAUGAUUUUUAUAAUCAAUUGACCCUAUUCUUUGUAUGUUACCAUUUUCAAGCAUAUUCCUUAAAAUUGAUAAUGAUGUUUGGUUACCUAUUUAUUAUUUCACAAAAUACUCUUAAGCUAAGCUAUGUAUCUUAAUAAAUGUAAAAUGAAAGAAGAAAAACCUUAAAAUUUAUCAUCAAACAUCAACUAUGAAUGUCCACAAAUACAAAUUUGGCUCAUAAUAUUUUUUAGAGACAAUACUGUUGUGAUCAGUAAGUACUACUCGAAACAAAUUGUCUUCAGAGAAAUGGAUGGUUCAGGCAUAAGAAGGUAUAUUGAUAUGUAUUUUCUGAAGUCGGUAGAUAACAAACAUACAAUAGGACCACUGUGAAUUAUAUCAGCAACUAUGAAAUGUUACUUUGCAUGAUGUUCUGAUUGUUGAGCUGCUGUGCCGGAUAAAUUUUAUGACUAAGCUGAAUUAAGUAAUAUCUGAGAUGUCCAAGUCCUCAAAUACUUUUAGAAUAUCUGGGCCCUGUAUGUGAUGCUAAUUUUGAUUUUUUCACAUCUCUGUAGUGCAUGGUUUCCCCAUUAUUGAUCUUUUGUAAUUAACAUAAGUGUGUUGCAUUUUCUUGUUGCAGGUUAAAUCGGUGGACCAGCCAUGCACUAUAGUAAUGAGGGUUAGUUCAUCAGUUCUUCUGCAUGUUCUAUAUUGAAGAUGAUCGUGCUAAACUAUUUCCUUUAUGAGCUAUCGGAAAUUAGAUUACCAAUGAGCACCGAACUAGGUGAAUUAUUCUGUGGAUGAUCUUAUCGCUUUCUUUAUAUUUUUCAUCUUCUAUUGCAGCUUAAACGCUGGGAGCGCAAGGAAUGUAAACCAAAUAGUCUUCCCAUACUGCAUAAAAUGCAUGUUAAGGUAGGGGACACAGUCAAACUUAUCACAGGCCAUGAGAACGGUAAAAUUGGGGAAAUUACUCGCAUUUUCAGGCAUAACAGCACUGUGAUUGUAAAAGGCUUGAACCUGAAAACAAAGCACAUGAAGAGCAGAGAACAAGGUGAACCUGGGCAGAUUGUCAAGGUAUGCUCUCUAUUUUCUGAACUUCCAUUCAUGUUUAUGAAUGAGCAAAUGGCAGGAUCAGGCUUUCCUCUCUUGAACUUUACUCCUUCCAUUGCUUUCUCAUGUGUUGAGCCUGAGUUAUCCUGCACAACGAACUGUUUCUGAACAGAUUGAAGCACCUAUCCACAGCUCAAAUGUGAUGCUUUACUCUAAAGAAAAAGAAGUGGCGAGCAGAGUGGGUCACAAAAUCCUCGAGGACGGAACCAGAGUCCGCUACCUCAUCAAAACUGGCGAAAUAAUCGACAGCACAGAGAACUGGAAAAAGGUUGUGAAAGAAAGAAAGGAAAAGAAAGAAGAGGCAUCCAGUUAGCAUCAAGGCAUCAAGUUGCUUCAUGUAUGACAUUUUAAAUCCCUUCUCUAGAAGUUUGUUGUUGCAUUCCAUUUGUAAUCAAGAGCAGUUAUGCUCCUGGAAUGUUUUCUACUCUGUCAUGGAAACUUCUUUUUUUCACUGAAAUCAUUCAUUUUUGUACUUGUUAUGUCUAUGAAUUUGGAAUCACUACCUUUACUCUAAUAUGGUCUCUUUGCAUGCUGUUAUCAUGUUCUGAAGUAGUGAAUUUGUGUUUUUUUUGUGACAUUUAUGUUUUUAUGAUAUUUGAUUCAUUCUAAGAUCUCUUAUCUGUAUCAAGAAAUUUGUGUUUGGUUUGAGAAACAAUGGCUUCUCCUCCCAACAUCUCAUGUUUAAAUAAGAGGAGAGAUUCCUCUCAUAACUUCCAAAUCCAUCACUCAACCUCUCAUAAGUUGACACAUGAAUGCAAAACAGCUAAUCAAGUAGUAUGAGGACCACUUAAAAAAGGACAAUAGGAGCAACAAAGGACAUCAUCAUCAUCAUCAUCAUCAUCAUCAUCACUUUUCAACCCCUUUUUGCAUCUUCUUCUUUGCGAGCAUUCUGUGUAGUGCUUGUUUAAUAAGAGGCUCAUUCUCUCUAUCAUUGAGGCCAAAACCUAACUAAAAUUAGCACCAUUGUCAGAUCUAAUUCCCAAGAAACUUCACAUGUAUGCAGUACUUUUGAGCUCCAUCUGCCUAUAUAUAUGCACAACAAAAACCUAUACUUUUGCACCCAUUAUUACACCUCCCUGUGGGCCCAACAUGUGAAGUGAGUGAAGGUGUGAUUUUUGUGGUCAAAAGGUGUCUCCAGCCAGUACUGCUCCUUUUUCUUUUUCCCCUUUUAUUUAUAUUCCUUUACUCUGUAGUUCUCUAUCUCUCUUGGCUUUCAGCUUCACGUGAACGCGUGCAGCGGUGGCCCGACACAAGCAACAACAAAAUAAAGAGAGAGAGGCCAACUGCCUCUGUUUUGGUCACUGCUCCUCUCUCUCUCUCUCUCUUCUUCUUCUUCUUGUGUANNNNNNNNNNNNNNNNNNNNNNNNNNNNNNNNNNNNNNNNNNNNNNNNNNNNNNNNNNNNNNNNNNNNNNNNNNNNNNNNNNNNNNNNNNNNNNNNNNNNNNNNNNNNNNNNNNNNNNNNNNNNNNNNNNNNNNNNNNNNNNNNNNNNNNNNNNNNNNNNNNNNNNNNNNNNNNNNNNNNNNNNNNNNNNNNNNNNNNNNNNNNNNNNNNNNNNNNNNNNNNNNNNNNNNNNNNNNNNNNNNNNNNNNNNNNNNNNNNNNNNNNNNNNNNNNNNNNNNNNNNNNNNNNNNNNNNNNNNNNNNNNNNNNNNNNNNNNNNNNNNNNNNNNNNNNNNNNNNNNNNNNNNNNNNNNNNNNNNNNNNNNNNNNNNNNNNNNNNNNNNNNNNNNNNNNNNNNNNNNNNNNUCCUCUCUCUCUCUCUCUCUUCUUCUUCUUCUUGUGAUUUCCAUGGUCUGAAACCUCUGAAGGAGAUAAGAGAGGAGGAUGUGUUACGUAGGGAAAGCGACCAAGAUCUUCUUCUUCCUCGUAGGGGCGCUCAUGGUGGUGGGCCUCGUCGUCGGCUUCGGCCUCGUCCGGCACGGCUGGGCACACAAGGCCGCCGCCCAGCCUUGCCAGUCAUCGUCGUUGACCGUCGCCGGAUGCCGGCCCAUCUUCCCCGACCCCAUUCCCGCCGACACCGCCACCGCCUCCACGGCCCCACCCUUCCCCGCGGCCGCCAUUCCCGCGGGCACGAUCCCCGUGCCGCCUCCGCCGCCCGCUGCCACCGACGUUCCCACGCCGCCCACCACGCCGCCACCGACCGUAAUCCUGCCGCCUGCGCCGCCCACAGCCACCGCCACCGACGUUCCCCCGCCGGCCAGUUCCACGGCCGCGCCGCCGCUUGUCAGCUUCGGCCCACCAAGUCCGGUUUACCAAGCGCUCGGCCCGGCCCAUGCAUAGAGGACAAAUAGACCGCUGAACCACCUUAGACUUACCUUUCAUUACUUGGUUUCUUUUUUCUUAUUUUAAUAGUAAUUUUCUUUCAAUUUCUUUUGUUUUUUUGGGGGGGGAAGGAACUCAUGAAGGCUAUUAGGUAAUCUUCUUUUCCUUGUUCUUAACAUUUGGAACUCGAGAUUAAUUUGGGAUGAUUGGAAUAAAUUCAUGUGGGGGAAUUAUUCACAAUAUUGAUCAUCUCUUCUCGCUCUUUCUUCCUAUCCUUAACUAUUUGAUUUAGGCUCAAGAAAAGGAUUAAAAGGCUAAGUUUUUAUGCUCACUGUUAAUUAAUGAAACAUAAUGCACUACAAUUAUCAUUCUUUUUUCUUAAUUCUUUAUUUUCAUCACCACCGGAUAAGAUUUCUCUUUUCGGAGUCACCAUCCAUGGAUGACAUCAGAGGCUUGGAGUCGUUGCCUGACAUGAAGUAAUGCUUGGAUCACACAGACCACAGAAAAAAGAGAUGUCACAAGAGUUCAUGCCUGCAAAGAAGAACACAAGUACACACCACUGCAGGAUGAGAGAGAGAGCUGUUGUUGGAAGUGGUCAUAUUUUGCCCAUUAAUAUCAUAUUCUGAAGAGAGAGAGAGAGAGAGAGAGAGAGAGAAAGAAGAACAUGAAGCUACAGCAAUGUCCUCUUUCUUUCUCCUUGUAUCUGAGAAGUGGAGUGGCUGUAGCCUUUGUCUGCAUGUUCUUCCCUGACACUCAUGUGUGGUUGCUGCUCCUAUUUGGAAUCUUUAUCUGCUCCCUGUCAGUAGACAACACAAGAUGCCAAUUUCUAAUGCCACUACUGUUCUUUAAUAGUAAGCACUCCACUGUUAUCAUACAAAUGAGCUGAUCCCAAUCCCUCAGAAUUUGAUGAGCAAUACUGUUUCCUUUAGACUGAUUUGGAUAUCCUUGGAUGAAAUUUUAGAUUAGGUUUGAGUAAAAAUAAGUACUUAAUUUACAACUCUAAGAAUUUUAAUUUUAACUAAACAUAAUAGAUAUAAUCGAUCGAUCGUUAUGAUCUAAAUCACUAAAAACACAAAUGUAUUAAAAAGAUAUAUAAUUUAUUUCUAUUAAAACAUCUGAGUUGGUUAGUGUAUUAUUGUAUAAGUGAUACGUCGUCCACUUAUAAAUAAACGUUAUAUAUGUUAUUUGAUAUAAUAAAUUUAUUUUUAUUUUUAUAAUAAUAUAUAAUAUGUUCUCUUUGAACAUUAAAAUGAUUCUAAAAAUAAUGUCAUAUUAUUUUAUUCUUCAAUGAAACCAAAUCUAAAAUCACAGCUAUAUAUGAAAAAUAAAAUAUCAUGAUAGUAUAUUAAAAUUCACAAUCUUAUCUAUCAUCACAAGUCCACCCCAUUUAUUUAUCUCUAAUCUGUCUUGUUCUUAUUUUGUACUGAAUUGCUACCCACGGUGGCUGGAGACUGAGAUGGGAGUUCAUUUGGGCCCCACAGUGCGCUGCAAGUUGUCCGAUAACAAGGCUGGUGAGGUUCGAGGGACGUUGCGUUGGGAGUCUGUAAGGAAAGUAUUCCUCUGUUACUUCAUUAACGUUCGAGGCCGGUAAAAGGGCGGAAAGAGAAAGGCGAGAGGGAAACCCAUUGAUCUCCCGACGGCGAACCGUUCCCUGAAUCCGCCAACGAGCGCCGGCCGCGAGGGUUCCGACGAGUAUCGGUGAUGGGUUCGUCCGAAAGCCCUGCUUGGUUCUUGGAUGACUUGAUCGGCGACAUGCACGCCUCCGAGGGCGAUCUCGCGGGGGUCAACGGCGGCUUUUGCUGGGCUCCCCCGGGAUUCAAUAUUUCCUUCAGGUGAUUUCGAAUCCGAUACUUUGGGAUCUCGUUGCGGUUGUCGUCGAGAACUGUCUAACACUCUUCUUGGAUGAACUGGAGAGCUGGUGUCUCCUAAAGUUGCGGCUUUGUUUCUUCUUUCUUGAUCUGUUAAUGUUUGAUGCAUGUAGUUACUUUUGAUCUUCUAAGGUUAGUGUUUUAUUGAAUCAUAGUAUGAUAUUGAGAGUUGCUAUGAUCAUUGGUAGUAUUGUGGAUAUAUGUAGCGAGAAAACCUUACGGAGUGGAUUAGGGUGGGAAUAUUGUUUCGAUCGAUCACGUAGCAUGUGGAUGUUGGGUUUGUUGAUUUUGCCUAUUCAAUUGCAAUCUAUAUUUGGUAUCUACAUAAUAGAAGAGAGUGAUUUGUACGGUGAAUCUUCACUCUUCUACACUGAUCUAAGAGGGGGUUGAGCAAGAUGCAAGUUAGUGAGAAGACAUAUUGAUCAUCUUGUAAUUUGGUCAUAGAAAGAUGAAAACUUUGUUUAGGUGCUGUAUAACACUUAUUGCAUUUUAUGGGCCUUAAAUAGGAUAACUUGAAAAGUCGAAACUCGAUUGACUUUUUCCUGGAUGGUGGUGAGAUGUACUAUAUGCAUCACAGAGAGUAUUAUCUCUUCAUUGUGUAGAUUUAAUUUAUCAGAUGCUACCAAGUUAAGGUGUUUCGGAAACUCAUGGAAUAGGAAAUGUUCUAUGCAACACAUGGAAUAGGAAAUAUUUUAUUUGUAGUCGCAGAGGACUUUUUGAACGUGUCCCAUGCUGAUCUGGGUGAAGUUUUUGAUUAAAAUCUUUGCAUAACCUGCAGACAUUAACAGAGCUAGAAGAACAGAAGUGGUCCAUCCAUCGAGAAGAACAACCAAAUGCUAUUACUAGUCUAUAUGCUCAAAACAAGAAAUUUCCCACAACUUCCGAAAAGGACACAACAUAAUUAAGGAAGGAGUAAACCAUGCAUAUGCUGCAUGAAUUUAGAGAAAAGUUGGAUGUUUUAAGGUUUGUACUAUACUUUAAUAUUGGAAGUAGACAAAGAAACAAAUUGCAUAAAAAAAUUUCUUUUAUUGCCUCAUAACAAGUGAGGAAAAAGCUUUGAUUCUGCCAUGCAAACUGUGCCCACACCUUAGAGCUGACUAUGCCAUCUUACAUGACCACUCUGUCCAAUUCACACUUCAAGUUUCCAAUUCAGUUUCUUUGAUUUGUCAUCGAAUUGACUUGUGCCAAGAUAAGUUUGAUCUACUUUAUCUUGUGAUGAUUGCUAAAGCAAGCUCUUUAUAAUUAAUGCAUACAUUGCUUAGGAGCAAUCCAACAAAUCAUUUUAUCAUUAAAUAGCUGAGAUGACUCAUUUCAUCAAUUUAGUCCAAUCUAUCCCUUUCUAACCAAUAUGUGCUUUAUGACUGGAUCGUAUCAGUGGGGUAAAUUUCAAUAUAUGUAUGGUUAAUCUUUUCAGAAUCGUAUUGUUCAUUGAUAGUCCACAGGGUUCGUACUCUACAUCGUAUGAUAAUAACCACUCUAUCUGUUGACUAAUGAUCCAUUAAAAGAUUCCUAUUAAAAUUCAAAUGAGUAUCUGACUAAUAAAUCCCAUUGGAUAGUGCGGUGGCUCUGGUUCAUGAGAAUUAGGCAAAUUAUUCAUACAGAUACUGACAAUCAUAAAAGAUGACAUGAAAAUUCCAUAUUGGAGAGGAUCAUUUGGAUUUAGAUGGAUACUUAAAAUCAUAAAAGUAUGUUGGGGCAUACGUAAACACACUUAAGGACUUGUCUUAGAUUAAUCACCAUGGUUCAUAUUUUCUGUAAAUUUAGACUACUAGAUUUUAUGUGUUCCAUAAGGACCUUGGAGCUGAAGAUCCUUCAGGGCAUUGCAUUAUUUGGUCUUGGGUGUCAAUAUAGUGGAAAUGGUUUUGAGAAUCUUCAUAAUUCUUUCAGCAAAAAUCAGUACUUUGCAUCGUAGUCAUCGAUCACAUUCUUAUGGUUUGUAUGAAUCAUUUGGAAGCUGCUAUGGUUUUUAAUUUUUGUCAUUUUUCUAUGAUUUUAACUUAAGUAUUGUAUAUUAUGCAUUUUUAUUCUUUGGAUAUCUUCAGUGAUUCUUCUAUUCAAAUUCUUUUUUUUUUUCAAAGUUCUAACAAGCAUAUUUCUUCUGCCUGUUGCCAUGAUUGACAGCUCCUUUUCAGACUCCAAUGGCCUCACAGAACCAGUCACUGGAAAGCGGUCGAAAUUUGAUCUUAUAAGUGAAACUUAGGAUAUUAUUGUUACUUCAUAUGCAUUUUUGUUGAUCAGUUUUUGAGACCAGAAAGCUUUAUUGCAGUAAGAGGUCAGAAACCUGUAGUACACCCGCCAAAGCUUGUAGAGAAAAAAUGAGAAGGGACAGGUUGAAUGACAGGUGCGAUAUCUGAUUUAUUAUGUGUGAACCAGCAGUGAUGCUAAAUAUGGUACUUUUUCCUCAUGCAUCAAGAUGACCUCAAGGCUUUUAUUUUUGUUUUUGAUUUAAGAUUCCUGGAAUUGGGCUCUCUUCUUGAACCUGGAAAGUUAUCAAAAUUGGACAAAGCUGCUAUCCUAAGUGAUGCUGUUCGUGUGUUGACUCAACUGCGCAGUGAGACAGAAAAGCUUAAAGAGUCAAAUGAAAUUCUCCAAGAGAAGAUAAAUGAAUUAAAGGUGGCUUAGAUUUUCCUUUGGUAUUACUAUUGUUAGAUAUAUGUAGUUUGUGUCUUCAUCUCUCAUGACUGUGCUUGUAUUGUAUCAGAUUAAGAUCUAUGUGAUGUUGAGAUUAUUUAGAAGGCUAACAUAGAUGCAUUUGCUUCAAUUAAAUGCAAUAAUUUUGGGAAAAAAAAGUAGGUGUCUUUUUCAAGCAUUAUGGAACUUUGCUGUUCCAUUUUUUUUUCUUUUCUAGCAUGAGUUGUCGACCUGUUAUCUAAUUACAUUUUAUUGCUCUUCAGGCUGAGAAGAAUGAGCUUCGUGAUGAGAAGCAGAAGCUGAAGGCAGAGAAUGAGAGUCUGGAGCAGCAAAUAAAACUCAGAUCGAGCUAUGUUUCUCACCCACCACCUGUAAUAGCGACCCCCUUCACAGCAAAAGGUCAAGCUGCGGCACAGAAGCUAAUGAUACCCAUCAUCGGUUACCCUGGCUUCCCAAUGUGGCAAUUCAUGGCGCCUUCCGAUAUCGAUACAUCGCAGGAUGCUGAUAAAUAUCCACCUGCUGCCUAGGCUAAUGGCCGAUCAAGCCGACACUCUUUGGGCUCUAGGUUAUGCCAAGGAUUCUAGCUUGAUUUCGUUGUUAGUUCUAAAAACAUGAUUACUAUUCUCAAUGAUGUGUUGUUAACCAGUGAAUGUCUUUUCUUGGAUCAGCGCAAGUUAUAAGUGGCAGAUCUCCCUGUAAAUGCACAUAAAUAGGGGAUUAUUGACCCAUUUGCUACUUUGUUAAAUGUGAUGAGCUGCAUGCUCGUAUUAUUGUUGUGCUCACUAGUGAACUAAUUAUAUCUUGGUUCCUUAUGCUCCAAAAAUUUUCUGCUCAUAUAUGCUCUAACGAUCUUUUGAAGCUAUUGUCAUGAGUUCUUUCAGGUACUAUCGACAAAGAACAUAAAAGUCAAACAUAAAUAAACUUCUAAUGCCAAAUCAACAUAUGCUAAUAUGUAGAAUAACCACCUUAUCUUAUAUAUAUAUAUAUAUAUAGUAAUCUGGUGGUCGUUGUCGUCGUCAUCGUCACGGUGUUUUAAUCGCUUGGUACACCGGAUCCUGGUCCAACCGUCGGGCGAUCGGCGUCGGCCAGCAGCGGGUUGCCGGUCGGGUCUUGCGAGUCGCGGAGCCACACGCUGAGCAUCACUAGCCCUGUGCCGAGGAGGAGGACGAAGAGUAGGCCCAGGCAAGCGGCCGCGGAAGUGUCAGCCCUCCGCCCGUCGCCGAUCGGGUUGACCAUGGCGGGCGCAAGGGCAAGCACGAUGAGCAAGAGACCGUAGGAGGCGACCUUGGACGGGAGAUCAGCCAUGGCCGACGAGGUCUGAGAAGAAGCCACACACCGCACCAGGUGCGCCGAGGUCGAACCCGAUGAUGGGUGGGCGAGCCCGCGAAGGCCU